rnacentral:RNase_P_RNA from 1 species
GGAAAGUCUGGGCAACAUAGAGCAGCGUACUUCCUAACGGGAAGGUCUUGUCGAAGGAAUUUGGCAGGAACAGAAAGUGCCGCAGAAAGGAAAACUACCUGGAGUAUUACGAAGGGAAAAGGUGAAAAGGUGAGGUAAGAGCUCACCGUGCUUCAAGUGAUUGAAGUUGCAAGGUAAACCUUACGCGUUGAAAGACCAUGUAAACCAAGGUUUGAGGGUUGCUCGCCCGAACUUGGAGGGUAGGUUGAUUGAUCCCGAUUGUGAAGUCGGGGCUAGAUAAAUGAUAAACAGCUUGUGAAAACAAGUUACAGGACCCG